ACGGGUGAGUAACAUAUCGGAACGUACCGAGCAGUGGGGGAUAACUAAUCGAAAGAUUAGCUAAUACCGCAUAUAUUCUGAGGAAGAAAGCAGGGGACCUUUGGGCCUUGCGCUGUUUGAGCGGCCGAUAUCUGAUUAGCUGGUUGGUGGGGUAAAGGCCUACCAAGGCGACGAUCAGUAGCCGGUCUGAGAGGAUGAACGGCCACAUUGGGACUGAGACACGGCCCAGACUCCUACGGGAGGCAGCAGUGGGGAAUCUUCCGCAAUGGGCGCAAGCCUGACGGAGCAACGCCGCGUGAGUGAAGAAGGUCUUCGGAUCGUAAAGCUCUGUUGAUGGGGACGAAUGUGCGUGAUGCGAAUAGUGUCAUGCAAUGACGGUACCUAUCGAGGAAGCCACGGCUAACUACGUGCCAGCAGCCGCGGUAAUACGUAGGUGGCGAGCGUUGUCCGGAAUCAUUGGGCGUAAAGGGAGCGCAGGCGGGCAAGUAAGUCUUUCUUAAAAGUUCGGGGCUCAACCCCGUGAUGGGAAAGAAACUACAUGUCUUGAGUACAGGAGAGGAAAGCGGAAUUCCCAGUGUAGCGGUGAAAUGCGUAGAUAUUGGGAGGAACACCAGUGGCGAAGGCGGCUUUCUGGACUGCAACUGACGCUGAGGCUCGAAAGCCAGGGGAGCGAACGGGAUUAGAUACCCCGGUAGUCCUGGCCCGUAAACG
rnacentral:rRNA from 1 species